GAUGAACGCUGGCGGCGUGCCUAAUACAUGCAAGUCGAGCGAACGGACGAGAAGCUUGCUUCUCUGAUGUUAGCGGCGGACGGGUGAGUAACACGUGGAUAACCCACCUAUAAGACUGGGAUAACUUCGGGAAACCGUAGCUAAUACCGGAUAAUAUUUUGAACCGCAUGGUUCAAAAGUGAAAGACGGUCUUGCUGUCACUUAUAGAUGGAUCCGCGCUGCAUUAGCUAGUUGGUAAGGUAACGGCUUACCAAGGCAACGAUGCAUAGCCGACCUGAGAGGGUGAUCGGCCACACUGGAACUGAGACACGGUCCAGACUCCUACGGGAGGCAGCAGUAGGGAAUCUUCCGCAAUGGGCGAAAGCCUGACGGAGCAACGCCGCGUGAGUGAUGAAGGUCUUCGGAUCGUAAAACUCUGUUAUUAGGGAAGAACAUAUGUGUAAGUAACUGUGCACAUCUUGACAGUACCUAAUCAGAAAGCCACGGCUAACUACGUG
rnacentral:rRNA from 1 species